GACGAACGCUGGCGGCGUGCCUAAUACAUGCAAGUAGAACGCUGAAGGAGGAGCUUGCUUCUCUGGAUGAGUUGCGAACGGGUGAGUAACGCGUAGGUAACCUGCCUGGUAGCGGGGGAUAACGAUUGGAAACGAUAGCUAAUACCGCAUAAGAGUAGAUGUUGCAUGACAUUUGCUUAAAAGGUGCAAUUGCAUCACUACCAGAUGGACCUGAGUUGUAUUAGCUAGUUGGUGAGGUAACGGCUCACCAAGGCAACGAUACAUAGCCGACCUGAGAGGGUGGUCGGCCAAGAUGGGACUGAGACACGGCCCAGACUCCUACGGGUAGCAGCAGUAGGGAAUCUUCGGCAAUGGACGGAAGUCUGACCGAGCAACGCCGCGUGAGUGAAGAAGGUUUUCGGAUCGUAAAGCUCUGUUGUAAGAGAAGAACGAGUGUGAGAGUGGAAAGUUCACACUGUGACGGUAUCUGACCAGAAAGGGACGGCUAACUACGUG
rnacentral:rRNA from 1 species